CCCAAUGUGAACGUUACCAAACUGUUGCCUCGGCGGGAUCUCUGCCCCGGGUGCGUCGCAGCCCCGGACCAAGGCGCCCGCCGGAGGACCAACCUAAAACUCUUAUUGUAUACCCCCUCGCGGGUUUUUUUAUAAUCUGAGCCUUCUCGGCGCCUCUCGUAGGCGUUUCGAAAAUGAAUCAAAACUUUCAACAACGGAUCUCUUGGUUCUGGCAUCGAUGAAGAACGCAGCGAAAUGCGAUAAGUAAUGUGAAUUGCAGAAUUCAGUGAAUCAUCGAAUCUUUGAACGCACAUUGCGCCCGCCAGUAUUCUGGCGGGCAUGCCUGUCCGAGCGUCAUUUCAACCCUCGAACCCCUCCGGGGGGUCGGCGUUGGGGAUCGGCCCUCCCUUAGCGGGUGGCCGUCUCCGAAAUACAGUGGCGGUCUCGCCGCAGCCUCUCCUGCGCAGUAGUUUGCACACUCGCAUCNNRACGGCGGCGCGUCCACAGCCGUUAAACACC
rnacentral:rRNA from 1 species